rnacentral:rRNA from 1 species
AUUGGACGCUGGCGGCAUGCCUUACACAUGCAAGUCGAACGGCAGCACGGGUGCUUGCACCUGGUGGCGAGUGGCGAACGGGUGAGUAAUACAUCGGAACAUGUCCUGUAGUGGGGGAUAGCCCGGCGAAAGCCGGAUUAAUACCGCAUACGAUCUACGGAUGAAAGCGGGGGACCUUCGGGCCUCGCGCUAUAGGGUUGGCCGAUGGCUGAUUAGCUAGUUGGUGGGGUAAAGGCCUACCAAGGCGACGCUCAGUAGCUGGUCUGAGAGGACGACCAGCCACACUGGGACUGAGACACGGCCCAGACUCCUACGGGAGGCAGCAGUGGGGAAUUUUGGACAAUGGGCGAAAGCCUGAUCCAGCAAUGCCGCGUGUGUGAAGAAGGCCUUCGGGUUGUAAAGCACUUUUGUCCGGAAAGAAAUCCUUGGCCCUAAUACGGUCGGGGGAUGACGGUACCGGAAGAAUAAGCACCGGCUAACUACGUG